GACGAACCGUGCGAACGUUGUUCGGAUUCACUGGGCUUAAAGGGCGCGUAGGCGGACUCGCCAGUCUGUGGUGAAAGCCCCCAGCUUAACUGGGGAAGUGCCGUGGAUACUGCGAGUCUGGAGGAGGGUAGGGGCAUCUGGAACGCUGGGUGGAGCGGUGAAAUGCGUUGAUAUCCAGCGGAACUCCGGUGGCGAAGGCGAGGUGCUGGACCCUUUCUGACGCUGAGGCGCGAAAGCCAGGGGAGCAAAGCGGG
rnacentral:rRNA from 1 species